UACGGAGGGUGCAAGCGUUAUCCGGAUUCACUGGGUUUAAAGGGUGCGUAGGCGGGCAGGUAAGUCAGUGGUGAAAUCCCCGAGCUUAACUUGGGAACUGCCGUUGAUACUAUCUGUCUUGAAUGUUGUGGAGGUGAGCGGAAUAUGUCAUGUAGCGGUGAAAUGCUUAGAUAUGACAUAGAACACCAAUUGCGAAGGCAGCUCGCUACACAAUUAUUGACUCUGAGGCACGAAAGCGUGGGGAUCAAACAGG
rnacentral:rRNA from 1 species